UGUAAACAUCCUUGACUGGAAGCUGUGAGGAGUUAGAAGGAGCUUUCAGUCGGAUGUUUACA
rnacentral:pre_miRNA from 1 species